CUACGUGCCAGCAGCCGCGGUAAUACGUAGGGUGCGAGCGUUAAUCGGAAUUACUGGGCGUAAAGCGAGCGCAGACGGUUACUUAAGCAGGAUGUGAAAUCCCCGGGCUCAACCUGGGAACUGCGUUCUGAACUGGGUGACUAGAGUGUGUCAGAGGGAGGUAGAAUUCCACGUGUAGCAGUGAAAUGCGUAGAGAUGUGGAGGAAUACCGAUGGCGAAGGCAGCCUCCUGGGAUAACACUGACGUUCAUGCUCGAAAGCGUGGGUAGCAAACAGGAUUAGAUACCCUGGUAGUCCACGCCCUAAACGAUGUCAAUUAGCUGUUGGGCAACUUGAUUGCUAGGUAGCGAAGCUAACGCGUGAAAUCGACCGCCUGGGGAGUACGGUCGCAAGAUUAAAACUCAAAGGAAUUGACGGGGACCCGCACAAGCGGUGGAUGAUGUGGAUUAAUUCGAUGCAACGCGAAGAACCUUACCUGGUCUUGACAU
rnacentral:rRNA from 1 species